CAUGAAUGACUUUGAGAGGUUCCAGACUUAAGUGGAAGAGGUAACUAUAGAUGUAAAAGAAAUAGCAAAGGAAUUAGAAUUAGAAGUGGAUCCUGAAGAUGGGACUGAAUUGCUGCAAUUUCAUGAGAAACUGAAUGGAUAAAUAGUUGCUCCUGUGGAUGAGCAAAGAGUCAUCACUUGAUAUGGUAUCUACUCUUGGUGAAGAUGCUUUGAAGAUUGUUGAAAUGACAACAAUGGAUUUAUAACUUAUAUUACACAAACUUAAUUGAUAAAUCAGCAGCAGGUUUUGAAAGGAUUGACUCCAAUUUUGAAAGAAGUCCUGUUGUGAGUAAAAUGCUAUCAAACAUUAUUGCAUGCUACAGAGAAAUCAUUCAUGGAAGGAAGAGUCAAUCAAUGUGGCCGACUUCACUGCUGUGUUAUUUUAAGAAAUGGCCACAGCCACCCCAACCCUCAGCAACCACCAUCCUGAUCGGUCAGCAGCCAUUAGCACCCAAGGCCAGAACCUCCACCAGCAAUAAACUAUGACUUGUUGAAAGCUCCGACGAUGGUUAGCAUUUCUUGGCAAUAAAGUAUGUUUAAAUUAAGGUAUGUACAUUUUUUAGACAUAAUGCUAUUACACACUUAAUAGACUACAUUAUAGUAUAAUCAUAAUUUCAUAGGCAUCGGAAACCAAAAAUUCAUUUAACUCACUUUAUUGUAAUAUUCACUGUGUUUGCAGUGAUCUGGAACUGAACCUGCAAUAACUCCAAGGUAUGCCUGUAUUUUCUGGGGUCUUUUGCUUCCUAAAAUACAAUCUUCACUUUCUCAUAGCCCCACUAAUUAAACUGCCUACAGAUAUCAAGGACCCCACGGACUGGCGAAAAUUCACUACUAAUGUGGUUUCUAGAAGACAGAAGCAAUGAAUUGCCUGUGAAUUGCCCAUGAAGAGUAAAGCUGAAGUGUCUGAAUUGCUGUGAUAUAGAGUGAAGAAAGGGACUAAAUAGCUCGACUUUAGUCUAACAAUGAUAAAAACAUCAGUCAAAUGCAAAUAUAGAGAUAUUCUAUAAAACAAGUGCUCCUAAAAUCAAAGGCCAUGAGAAACAAGGCAAGGCUGAGCGCUGUCGCCAUGUAGAGGGACCUGAACGUUCUGUUGAUGUGAUGCCCUGCAGCAUUUUAGAUGAGACCCUGCAAUGAAAAGAAGACAUGAGGUCUGAUAUUCAAGGAGGGGCUGAGUUUCUGAGAGAAACAUUACAGAACUGACAAGAGCCUGAGACAGAAGGCCAAAGUGUGCACAUUCCUGGGCAAAUCCAGAAAAAGUGACAGGCUGAACAUCGGAGUCACCAUGAGAAUUCAAAACUCUGCCCCAUCUGAGGAAGAAUUAGAAAUUCUAGGGUGUGUCCAGCGGAGCUCCAGUUAAAUCUUAUCUAGAUCUGGUGGGUCACAAAAUGUUAUGACAUUAACUUUUUACAGCAGCCCUCUGAGAUGGAUACUGGAUAUGAAGUACUUGGCACAAAGGUGAAGGUGGCUCUAUCAGGAGAUCAUAGACUCUUCGUGGGACUGUGACUAAAGAUAACCAGAGAAACUCCCCAGCACUCGCAUGAGAUGAGGUCACAUAAUAGGACAUGCCCUGGAAAGUGGAGCACUCUGAGAUAGUCUCUGAAAGUUACAAAUCUUCCCAGCAUCUCCUUUGGAAGAGCAAUUAAAGCCAAUAUUUACUGCUCACUUAUUUGAGCAACAGGAGCUGCCUAAGAGUAAUAUGAAGAAACUGAAUUGAGAAAGUUGACUUUCCCAAGUUCAUACCAUUAAUAAGUACCAGAGCCAGAAAACAAACCUCGAUCUGUAUAAUUCUACAACUAUGACCUUUCCACUAUGACUUACUGCUUUCUUAGGUAUGAACUUUUUUCAAUUCUCAUUUAAUCAUUAAUGUUUUGAUGUUACCCAAUAUGUGUGCUUAUGUUUUUGUUCAAUUUCAAACGCUAAUCAAGAUUAUUUUUUUCUGCCCCCUUUUUUGCUCGUAAGGAUAUCACUGAGUAACCUCCAUAAAACUCCCGCUUGCUGAAGUAAAACACUUUCUAUUGUAUAAGCUUUAAUUUCACUUUUUCUGACCUGACAGACAGAGUUAUUUGGGCUUGGUGACUGGGAUGUAACAAAAAUAAAACAUGCCAAGAUUCUCCUAGUGACUUUACCCAUAAAAGCAGGAAUCCACCAAAGCCUUGUUGUGAAGUACCUGGUUAUUAUGACAGAAAUAUAGAGCAGGAACAUUAUGCUUUAAUGAGCUCUUUCUCAUUGGGGAGCUCUCUUUGGCAUGGUUUGCACAUAAAUGCUUCACUCUUCUAAGACCACAGUCUCUAAGUAAGCAGUCCAUUGUACUUUGCUACAAAUAACAUUGUGUUCUUGAUUCUAAAUGUCAUUUCAACUGGUGCUUGAUCUCCUUCACAUUUGACUUGCAUGAGUUUCCUAAUCUUUCCUUCAGUAUGCAAAAUUAUCUGCCUGCCAAAUUUAGAUAACUUCUUGGAACAGAUUCAAUUAUAUUUCAUAGUGUAGCCCUAUUACAAUCAAGGUCAAACGUUGGCUUAUAAGUUUUCAGAUCAUAGGAAAAAUCUAAAACAAAAAUCCCAUUUUUCUUUUCUUUCACUUCUCUCCUACCCAUACUGUUUACCAGGAAGUCCCUAAUUUUAUCAAAUCCGUUAGAAGGCAUAAGAUUACAACAAUCAAUUCUAUAUUUGUAUCUCAAGGGAAUAUUUUCUGGGCUGUUUUGGGUGCGUGUGAGGAGGAAGAGUGUUGAAUUAUCUAUCAAUACUAGCUGAAAUGGCCAAAGUUAGACAUUAGCUGUUCAUUAAUUACUAUGAGCUCUAGUACUUUUUCCUGUGUAUCUGUGUGUAGAGAACAUGUGUGUGUGUGUGUGUGUGUGUGUGUGUGUGUGUGUGUGUAGAGGGUUGGGGAUGCAGAGGAAAAAGAGAGAGAGAAACAAGAGAGAGACUUCUGUUGCAGAGAAAAAUAACUUUCAUCUGAAAUGCAUAUAAUGGGAGAUAAGCUUACUAAAUUUAGAACUAAGAUUACUUAAAAUUCUGUCUAGUAAUCCAUACGAUUUUAUCUGAUGAUACUAGUUUGUUUAAUUGCCAGACUUUUCCCUUUUGAUAUUAACUGCCAGAAAGUUUAAGGCCAAAUUUCUGGUUUACACACAUUUUAAAUGUGUGGCUCUUCAUAGUUUGAAUGAUUUAGCCUUAUUUAUGGUGGCAUCUUGUAUCCAGUCUUUUGUGAACUUUUUUUUCUGUAUUUUUUUUUGCUGUCUUUUAACCCAGGCUAAUUUAUCAUAUUCUAUUGCUCUCUACAAGUCAUUUCUAAGACUCCUGUAAUAAUAGAUAGUCAUUUUGAAGCUCUUUAAAUUGGGAAUUAACUGAAUAAUCAUCUCAUAUCCUCAUAUCACUUUUUUUUGCUUUUGUUGUUACUGUGUGUGCUCACUGGCUGCCAGGCAGAGACUGGAUGUGGAGUUUAGCUGUCAGUCUGAGGGUAUCUUCAAAGAACUUUGAUUCUUACUCUAAAAUCUCUUAAACUUGCUUUGCCUUUCACAUUCCUUUAUUCUGUUUCUGGUUCUCCUCCACAUUUACAGGCCUAUGAAUCAUGAAUUCUAGUUUACAAAGCAUUUCACAGCUCCUAUUAAGCAAUUUCCCUACCUUAUAUUUCCCUCCAUUCUAAUCCACCCUGCAGUCCACACUGUAAUUUCUCUUAAAAUAGGCUACACUCCAACAACUCUCAUUGGCUAGCCCCAUCUUCUGUUACAAAUUGUUCCUUUGUCUGUCGCCCACAUGAACCCUCCUUGUCCAUUCUAAUUUUUCCACAGCAGCCCCAUCUUCAUUCCUACUUACCACAUGUUCAUGCAAGUUCCACUAACUGAAUUACAGGCCCUCUCCUUUCCUCCAGUUCAAAUCCAAUCCUCUUUUUAAGACUCAGUUAAGCCAUGAUUGCUUCACAAAGGUCCUGAAUCUCAGAGCUUGUUCCCCAUCAAAUGUGCUAAUUGUUUCAACUUUUCUCCCCCACUUUCUCCAACUGAAUUAUGUGUACAUCGAUGGCAAGCAUAUUAUGGUACCAUUCUCUUAGUCAUGUAACUAAGCACAGCAUUGAGAAUUAGUAAAAAAUUAGUAGAAUUUACUGAACCUUGGUCACUCACAACAUAAUCCAGUGUUCAGUUUUAGAAUCAGUAAAUAGAAGGCCUGAAAUGCCCCAGAAAUUCCUUAAUCAUUUGUCCAGUAAACAUUUCAUGAUGAUAAAACUGAAUCAAAUUUGCAAUAAAAUCAGAUCUCCAACACAG